GAGGCAGUCAAAAUGUGUCUUGAAGAUGAUGAAAGAACGGAACAGUGGAACAUGGACAUAAGAGACAAAUGGAAUGCCAAGUCCAUCUAUGUUGUUGGGAAGGCUACUGCAGCGUUAGGUGGCAGGUGCAGCACUCUCUCUCGGUAUCUGUACUUUUCCGUUGACCUCUGAUUUAUUGGGAAGGAACGACAGGGUUGUUCUGUUAGCUGAAACGUUAAAGUUUGAGUGUAUUGAACUGUUAUCUGCACCAAAAACACUUUAUAAGAAUGUUUAGGGUGUUCAUUCAUGUGUAGCAUAAUGACGACUACUGUAUUAAUGCCAUAAACUACUACUGUAUUAAUACUAUAAACUACUACUGUAUUAAUACCAUAAACUACUACUGUAUUAAUACCAUAAACUACUACUGUAUUAGUACUAUAAACUACUACUGUAUUAAUGCCAUAAACUACUACUGUAUUAGUACUAUAAACUACUACUGUAUUAAUACCAUAAACUACUACUGUAUUAAUACCAUAAACUACUACUGUAUUAAUACUAUAAACUACUACUGUAUUAAUACUAUAAACUACUACUGUAUUAAU